rnacentral:rRNA from 1 species
GUGCUUAACACAUGCAAGUCGAGUGCGCGCCCGUAGCAAUACGGGUGGCGCACGGCGCACGGGUGCGUAACACGUGGGUACCUGCCCUUUGAUGGGGAAUAACCCCGCGAAAGCGGGGCUAAUACCGCAUAAGAUCCGCAAGGAUGAAAGCCGAAAGGCGUCGAAGGAGGGGCCUGCGCACGAUUAGCUAGUUGGUAGGGUAACGGCCUACCAAGGCUUUGAUCGUUAGCUGGUCUGAGAGGAUGGCCAGCCACACUGGAACUGAGACACGGUCCAG